GCGGAAGUAGUUCAGUGGUAGAACAUCACCUUGCCAAGGUGGGGGUCGCGGGUUCGAACCCCGUCUUCCGCUCCC
rnacentral:tRNA from 1 species